rnacentral:misc_RNA from 1 species
AAGUCGUAACAAGGUUUCCGUAGGUGAACCUGCGGAAGGAUCAUUAACACGUUAUCCAACGUAUCAACCAACGAGAAUCGUUUUCACAUCUCCCGGAAGCAAAGAAUGAGUGGAAUCCGAGCAACGCAUUGAAAGGGAUAGCCUCGGCGUCAGCCUGCUCUUAUCACUUAGGCAAAUCGAAAGGUUUGCUUAGACACUGUAUUUUUGCGGAAGGCAAAUUGGUCUGCGGUGGUGCUUUCCUUUCAUUGAGAAUCACUGCAGGCUCCUAUUUUUUUUUUACCUAUUUCACCCCCCUUUUUGCUAGUUGACUUUAAUACUGUUGUUCUUUUUUUUCAAACGCUUGCGUUGGGAAACGAGUUCACACGUUUAAUUAAUUGAACGUUAAAAAUACAACUCUUAGCAAUGGAUAUCUUGGUUCUC